rnacentral:rRNA from 1 species
AUUGAACGCUGGCGGCAGGCCUAACACAUGCAAGUCGAACGAGUGGCGGACGGGUGAGUAAUGUCUGGGAAACUGCCUGAUGGAGGGGGAUAACUACUGGAAACGGUAGCUAAUACCGCAUACCAUCGGAUGUGCCCAGAUGGGAUUAGCUAGUAGGUGGGGUAAAGGCUCACCUAGGCGACGAUCCCUAGCUGGUCUGAGAGGAUGACCAGCCACACUGGAACUGAGACACAGUCCAGACCGCUACGGAGGGCAGCAGUGGGGAAUAUUGCACAAGGGGUGCAAGCCUGAUGCAGGCAUGCCGCGUGUAUGAAGAAGGCCUUCGGGUUGUAAAGUACUUUCAGCGGGAAAGCGUUACCCGCAGAAGAAGCACCGGCUAACUCCGUGCCAGGAACCACGGUGAUAC